rnacentral:ncRNA from 1 species
AGCAUCGNCGCGGCGCAGUGACCCGUUGAACCUGAUCCAGUUCAUACUGGCGUAGGGACGGUGCAAGCGCUUUGC